CUUCACUUGAAGGUGUGAAAAGAACAGCCUGACUCUGAGAGAAGGGAGAGUGAAGGAGCAAAUGUGGGCAACAGCUGUCAGUGACACAUCAUUACCCCAACAGCCAGAAACAAGAUAAGCGCCUUGCAGGGGCCCUUAACUGACUGCUGGGUUCGAUGGUUCAAAGAGAAAAAGCACGUGAUAACUUUGAAGGAGGCUGCCUGGCUGAGCUGAUCGGAUCACCUAGAGACUGGAAAUGCUUUCUGGUGCCUGAUCCUCUACUGGGUGUUCAACACUGGCUGCAUUUAUGGAGACCACAGACAAAAGAUGGAAACAGCCUCCACCGGCAUGGGGAUCAGGCAUGGGGCAAACACAGGAGACAAAACAGGAGAAUCUCCCGAGAACACCCUCUGAUCAGCACUCUGCAUGCAAUUUCCAUCUCAGACUCUGUUUCUAGGAAGACUUUCAGGCAGCUGACACUGGACGUGGUUGUGAGUUGCAGGCCCUAAUGAAAAAUUGGAGAGGAAGCAGGUGGCCGGCUGAUGAAAUGAUAACCAGAAGGCCUGUGGGCUUGGGUGGCUGAGGCUGAGGCUACUGAGUGUUGAAGAGAGAGAGGCAGAGGCGCAGGAUGACUCAUCACUGGUUUCAGGCAAACUGUGAAAGCCAGAGCACUUCCUUGGCAGCAUUUAAGAAAACCCCGAUGAUCUGCAGCUGGAAGGCAGGUUGGCUGGAGGACCAGUCUGAACCCUGAGUAGGUUAAGUUCUCAGUCCUUCAGACACAGGGCUCUAAUGGGAAAGAGGUGAGACCCUUACACUUAGGGUGGGAGCCCUGGACAGUUGGGAACCCUGAACACUUACAUGCCCCUGAGUCCCCUGGGCCUGCAGAAAUGGCCUAUUUCUCAUGUCAUGUAGAAGAUUGUAGACUGCUUGAACCUGGGAGGCGGAGCUUGCAGUGAGCCCAGAUUGCACCAUUGCACUCCAGCCUGGGCAACAGAGCGAGACUCGGUCAAAAAAAAAAAAAAAAAAAAGCAAGACUUUCCUUUUCUGAAGAUCAUACAGAGGUCUCAAAUGAGUCUGAAGUCACCUGCCCUAUCUGGACAUUCCAUAGACUACCACUUUUACCCACGACUUCGAUGUGGCAUGCUCAUUGGACCAGAUAAGCAAGCAGUGGCAAGUGGAUUGGAGGUCUUGGUAACCAGUUCAACCAAAAUCCUGGGACAGCUGUUCCCUGAUGCGGCACACUUCCUAGAAGAAGCAAGUGAAUUUAAAGCAGAGUGAACUGUAGAGGAGUUCACGACCAAAUCUCUGAUGCUUUCCCCAGAUCUUUCUUCAGGGCCAACACAUCCAUUGCUCAGCUGUGAUAGACAGCAGUCAGGGGUGGCUCACCUCUCUCACUGGGAAUUGCUCUCAGCAGUAGGGAACUCAUUCAGGGUUAAGGCAUCUCCUUGAGGAGGCCCAUGUUCAAUUACUGGUUGACACAGGAAUAUGAAGGCCUGGCCCUCGUCUCAGCUUGGAAUAAAUCUGAAGGCCCAUCACAGCUUCAGAGAUGCUUGGAGAAGGCUGAGGUCUCCCCUGUAACCUUAUGAGAACCUUGAGUUGUUGAACUCAUUAAUUCUUUGGGACCAUCUUCCUGAUGUUCAAGUUUGUGAAACAGGCUUUCCCUUUAAGAUUUGUUUUCCUCAAAAUACAAGACUAUUGAUGCUUCAGUUUUGAAGUGGAUUCUGCACUCAAGAAAUGUACCAUUGAAGAAUGGGACUGGUAGGAAGGGAAAAAAACUAAAAGGAAACGCAUUUUCGAGUUGCACAUCAUGAUCAGGCACAGAGUCCAGAUACACUUGGAGUAGCAAGCAUCCAUCCUUGUGGAGACGCACAUGAACCAGGACUCUCUGCACCCACCCCUCUCAAGUUUUAUUUUCCGACGGCUGUAAUGUUCCAGGACACCUGCCAUCAUGGAGGGUUAUCCAGCACCUGGAGGAUACCUGCUACCUGGUGAAGGACUUUAGUACGAUGGUCAAGACAAGAACCGUGGAGUCAGAAUGCCUGCAUGCAGAUCUCAUCACCAUGGGGCCCUGAUGAUGGUUGCCUUCAACAUUGCCUCAAUACUCAACAUCCAAGACAGCCCUGGCUUAGCAACUGGAAUCACGGAUGGGGAAAAUUUUUUCUCAAGCACAUGUGAAAUUUGGCUGUCAGACCACCUUCAUCUGCACAGAAAGCUAAAUGUAUUGCCUAGUUUUGCAACUUCAUAUGACUGUUCGCCAAACUGGAAUAAUUGUUGCAUUUGUGUGUGACUUCUCAGUAUUCCUAUGGCAUUACCACCAUAGCACCCCUAUGUCAAAUGGUGAAAGAAUUAGGUGAGGUUUUGUGAACGUUUAGAGUAACUUUGUUUUUUUGCAUCAACAUUCAAGAAGCACUCCUUCCCUUCCACUGCAGUAGAACCUUGAG
rnacentral:lncRNA from 1 species